rnacentral:tRNA from 1 species
UGCGGGCCCGGGCCGCGUUGCGCGGCGGGGUGGACAGGUCACCCCAGUCCGCGGCGGACUGGACGGGGCGGUCGGCGCCGACACCGUCGGGCCGCAG